ACACGACUACAUUAGAUACCCGUGUAGUCCCAGCCCUAAACGAUGCGCGUUAGGUGUAUCGGUGACCACGAGUCACCGAGGUGCCGAAGGGAACCGUGAAACGUGCCGCCUGGGAAGUACGGUCGCAAGGCUGAAACUUAAAGGAAUUGGCGGGGGAGCACCGCAACGGGAGGAGCGUGCGGUUCAAUUGGAUUCAACGCCGGACAACUCACCAGGAGCGACGGUUACAUGAAGGCCAGGCUGAUGACCUUGCCUGAUUUUCCG
rnacentral:rRNA from 1 species